GGCAAUGUUGCUUUUGGCUGUCCCUGGCUGGUGUCUGUCUUUACCUUGAACUGCCCUAAGAUUAGAAUUUCUUGUAAACGGUGACUUAAUUAUUCGCCUGCAUCCUUUUACAACGUCGGGCUGCUUCCCCCUGUGCUCAGGGAGUUGCCUCUCUGGCUGCUGCUUAGAGUGGACUGGAAUUGACUUGUCUGACUGCUCUUUUUGAGGGCAUUAUCUCCAGUCCCUGAAGGCAAGAAAAGUGGCCAGAAUGAAGCACAUCCGAGAAUGAAAAAGAGAAGGUCACCACGAAAAGCUUCAGCAGCAAACCAGUGAACUAGCUGCAGAUGAAAGGGAAUUCCAGUCUGACUCAUCAUGGGAUCAAGUUGUUUCCCAGGCAUUCGCCCCAUGUGUGGACUGCAGGGAUAAUGUGUCUCUGGACAGAAGUCUCUCUCGUUUGACUGCUGUGGAUUCCCGCAGACUCUAGAACACCAGUCUCCCUCCUCUCCUGGCCAUCCUGCAGGGAGCCACCCUUGUAGUCUUUCUAGAACCCACAUGUCAUGCUCAUGCUGAAUAACACCCAUGAGUUCUCCAGUGUCAUCAAGAUGAAAUCCAAGCUCCAGUGCAUGGCCCUCUGCCCUCCGGACCGGGCCUGACUCUCCUCCUUUCUCUCCCCACAUCAAUCCAGGGCUCCCUGGAAUCACCAUGCUGCUUUUGUCUUUCUGCCUCAGCCUGGGCUGCAGCUUUAGCCAGGACACGUUCUCUGCCUUUUUCUUAUUCAUUUACCAGGAAAACUUCUAGUUUCCUUGAAGACUCACUUCAAGGCUCUCUUUCUCCUGGAAACUUGGUUUCCUCCCAGACAGAAUUCACUGCUCUUCGUCUGAGAUCCUGUAACACCUUACACAUAUCACCAUCUUGGCUCCAACCUCCUGGCUUUGUAAUUAUUCCUGAUUUGUCUCUCCCAGUAGCCCACUAUCCUCAAGGAGAAGGCCGAGGCUUAUUCUUGGUUGAGUUCCCAGUUACAUGUUAACGUGUGAAUGAGUGAAUGAAUGCACCUUGAAUGCCUCCAUCCUUUCCAAAGACAUUGGAAAUGUCUCUCCUCUGAGAGAAUUCUUGCCUCACGUGUGAAUCAGAGCCUGACAAAUCAUUUAUUUCUUCGGCCUGGCAUCCUACCUACCGAAUGGCAUGGGCUUGCUCUUGCAGCCCCAAGCAGAAGCUCUUUUGUCCACACUUCCUUUCUUGUUGUUUUAGCUUCCUUUCCCUUCACUGCUAGACUGUGAGCUUUUUAAGGGCGGGGCCACAUCCUGCUCAUUUACACCCUUGCGUCCCAGCAUCUAGCCUGGUGACAGAGCAGAACGUGGCUCUCCUUCAGACCAAGCUUACUCUCGUCUUUAAAUUGUUGCAGAAGGACAAGGGAGCAGACUAAAAGGAGCCAGAGAUGAAAUGGUACGCUUGCCUCUUCCAUCAUCAGAUGUUGUGAACUGACAACGUAAAUAUUCAGGCACCUCCAGCAUCUCUUGCCCAGCUGCUCUCUGCCUAGUGCAGGUGACCCAGUCCAACUCCUCUCAAUUUGCCUGCCUUUCCGCUCUCUCUUUCAUCUUCUUCUUCCUUUUCUAAAAGCAGGCACUGCAAUAAAUUAAACUUUCAUGGUUCCAUUCCCUCUUUUCCCAUUGAGGAACCCUAACAUAUUUCCUUAAGGAAAUACUUUGGAAAUUGUAAUUGAAACACAAUAAUUCAUAACGGAAGCGGGAGGAGGAGAGUAAUAGAUUUAGCUCUUGUUUCUGGUGGCAGACAUGUUAAUUACAUUUUCUAUUUCCUCUCAUUACCAGGGAGCAUGUCUCCAACAGGCCAGCCUGCUACUCUCCCUCCUCUCCAGCCAGCCCCACCCUGCUUCACACCCUCAGUGGGCCUGGAGGCAAGUGGAAUGCACAACUGACCAUGUCACUGUUUUGUUCUGAGCUCCUUGGAAGAGUUACAACCCAGCAACUCAGGUCCAGUUUCCUUAGUGGGAAUCAGAGAGCCCCAAACUCUACUCUCCUACCUUAAGGGACAGCCAGACUGAGAUCUCUGAAUUCACAUAGCCUCUUCUUGCUUCUGGGAGUCUCCAUAUGCCACCGAGGCCCCCGUUUCCCCUGGAGUGAGUCAGGAGGACCACUACUGCCUACCUGCUUGUGCAUCUGCCAGUAACACCUGCUCCCCUAUCUGUCCUGUCUCACUGCCCUUUCUAGUAACAUUGCCUCGGCCGGAGAAGGCAGAAUGUGUGGCUCCUGACUCCUCUGCAUUCCUGUUGUCCCUUUCACACUCAUGAUGCCAUAGUAUGAUUGUCUUUUACUCUCCAUCUCUUUAUCCCCUGCCUCAACCCCUCCCAGUGACACACAAAAAAGUAUGAGAAACUGGAAGCAUUGGGAGGGCAGGGCAUUUAUCAGGAAAUUUAUCAAUUUCUGAACUAUGUAGUACAGUGCCUGGUUCAGAACAAAUUCUCAACAAAAUAUUUGAAUAAUGUACGUCUAGGCAGACUUCUUGGAUCGAGACUCUCUGACUAGUGGGUGGGGAGUGGAGUCCUCAGGGUCCUUUUCUGCUGACAUAAAUCUUCUCUGCGUAGUAAAUCCUAGAGCAAGUGUACUUUCUGCAGCUUAGCUGCACAGUCAUGUCAGUGCCUGAGCCAAAAGAAACGAUGGAAAAAUGUGUGCCCCAUACAUACUUAUGAAAAUAUUCUACCAUAUUUUGAUCCAUAUAGAAAAAGCUAAAAAAGAUUUGAAAUUUUAUGAAAAUGACUUUACAAAAGCCCUGUAUUGUCCAGUCUGUUCUUGCGCCGUGCUUAACCCUCCUCCUAAGCUCACCCAGGAGGGACUGUGAGGACCACGAAGCCUUGGAACCAUGGACUGACGAGAAAUGAUUGUUCCCACUGCACAAUGAGGCAGGGCUACAAAGUAUGACAACAGCCUGGUUUUAAAAAACACAAAAUUCAAUAUUAUAUUUAUCUUGGAGUUUUGAAUUAAUUUUGAUUUUUUGUUUGUUUGUUUUUGAGAUGGAGUCUCGCUCUGUUGCCCACACCGGAGUGCAAUGGCACGAUCUUGGCUCACUGCAACCUCCACCUCCUGGGUUCAAGCAAUUCUCCUGCCUCAGUCUCCAGAGUAGCUGGGAUUACAGGCACCUGCCACCAUGCCCGGCUAAUUUUUUUUUUUUUUUUUAGUAGAGAUAGGUCUUGCCAUGUUGGCCAGGCCAGUCUCAAACUCCUGACCUUUAGUGAUCCAAACUGCUGGGAUUACAAGUGUGAGCCACUGCGCCUGGCCAUAACGUUGACUUUUUUUUUUAAUAUGCCACAUUCAAAUAUUUAUCUUGAUUUCUGAGUUUUUGGCAUACUUAAAAUUCACACCCAAGACAAAUGUUUUACUUACCUCACUCUAAUGCCAAUCCUGCCCUUAAGGGACUUCAAAGGGAACUCCUCCCACUUCUCUCCUCCUCCUCUGAGCUCCCUUUCCUCAAAGAGCAUCCAGUCCAAUGGGGACGUGAACACAUCAACACUCAACUCCAUUAUAUCACAUGGUAAGGUGAAUGAAUACAACAAAAAUAGGCGUAACUGAAGUGCAGGUGUAAGCUGAGAAGGGCAGGGCUAAACACGACUGUACAUUUGGGAAGCCUGGAGGCAGAAUGAGGCAAUGGUAAAGGCCCUGAAAGAUAAGUAGAUUUCUAAUAAAUAAAGAAGUGUAAAAUGCAUUCUGAGCAGAAGCCGUAGAUGAACAAAAGCUUAGAGGCAUUGUGUUAAGUGAAAUAAGCCAGACACAGAGAGACAAAUAUCGCACGGUCUCAUUGAAACGUGGAAUCAAAAACACUCAAACUCGCAGGAACAGAGCAGAAUGGUGAUUUCCUGGGGCUGAUGGGGGUUGAUGAGAGAUGGUCAAAGAGUACCAAGUUUCUUUUAUGCAAGAUAAGUAAGUUCUGGAGGUCUACUAUACGGCAGUACCCACAGUUAACGAUACUGUUUGUAUACUUACUCUAUGUUAAGAAGGUAGAUCUUUUAUUAAGUGUUCUUAGCUCAGAAAAUGAAACAAAGAAAAUCCAAUAAUAAUAAUGAUA